CGACGCCGCGUGCGGGAUGAAGGCCUUCGGGUUGUAAACCGCUUUCAGUAGGGAAGAAGCGAAAGUGACGGUACCUACAGAAGAAGCACCGGCUAACUAUGUGCCAGCAGCCGCGGUAAUACAUAGGGUGCAAGCGUUGUCCGGAAUUAUUGGGCGUAAAGAGCUCGUAGGUGGUUUGAUACGUCGGGUGUGAAAUUCAGGGGCUCAACCCCUGACCUGCAUUCGAUACGGUCAAGCUGGAGUUUGGUAGGGGAGACUGGAAUUCCUGGUGUAGCGGUGGAAUGCGCAGAUAUCAGGAGGAACACCGAUGGCGAAGGCAGGUCUCUGGGCCAAUACUGACACUGAGGAGCGAAAGCGUGGGGAGCGAACAGGAUUAGAUACCCUGGUAGUCCACGCCGUAAACGAUGGGCGCUAGUUGUGCGAACCUUCCACGGUUUGUGCGACGCAGCUAACGCAUUAAGCGCCCCGCCUGGGGAGUACGAUCGCAAGAUUA
rnacentral:rRNA from 1 species